rnacentral:rRNA from 1 species
UGGGGAAUAUUGCACAAUGGGCGAAAGCCUGAUGCAGCGACGCCGCGUGAGGGAUGACGGCCUUCGGGUUGUAAACCUCUUUCAGCAGGGACGAAGCGCAAGUGACGGUACCUGCAGAAGAAGCACCGGCUAACUACGUGCCAGCAGCCGCGGUAAUACGUAGGGUGCAAGCGUUGUCCGGAAUUACUGGGCGUAAAGAGUUCGUAGGCGGUUUGUCGCGUCGUUUGUGAAAACCAGCAGCUCAACUGCUGGCUUGCAGGCGAUACGGGCAGACUUGAGUACUGCAGGGGAGACUGGAAUUCCUGGUGUAGCGGUAAAAUGCGCAGAUAUCAGGAGGAACACCGGUGGCGAAGGCGGGUCUCUGGGCAGUAACUGACGCUGAGGAACGAAAGCGUGGGUAGCGAACAGG